CUGGUUGCCUCCAUGCGGACGAGGAGAGAUACCACCAAGUCUGCCAGUCCAAGACUGCAUGCUCCCCAAAGGGGUCCUUCCGCAGAAAUCUAGGAGACGUUUUUAACUCCUUCCUCUCUCUUAUUCACCCCUCCUACCAUCCAAUGGGUCCUGCAUUCUGUUGAUUUCAUCGGAUUCUACCUUACUGUCUAGAAUCCUUUUCUCACUGCCAUGGCUCAGUGACAAUUUAGUGGGUGCUUAUUACGUGCCAGGUACUGCUCUAAGCAUUGUGCACGCGUGGUCUCAUCUAAUUCUCUUAACGAUCUGGUGGAACUAGGAAGGGACUGAGGCCUUGAGAAUUCAUUUGCUCGGGGUCAUAUAGCUAAUAAGUGACAAAGAGCCCAGAAGGGUCUUGCUGACAGCAGAGUCCUUGAUUUUUAGCACUCUCGUGCAACAUUACUUCAGGAUCGUGUCAUUCCUUGCGUAGAUCAUCACCUCGUCUCUCUUAUUAGUUUUCCUGACUUCAGUCUCCCCCUCCCCACAGUGUAGCUAUCUUUCCCUCUCCGCUACUAUUCCUCUCAUUCAGGUUGCCCUCUGUCAUCUCUGCAACUGAAUUCCAUAGGAUCUGUCUUCCUUCUGUCUCUAUUUUGCCCCACACCUUAAAUCCAUUCUCCACACUGAAGCCAGAAUUCCCUCCUAAAAUGCUAAGUUCACCACACCACUCUCCUGCUGAAAACCAGCCCGGCAACUUGGUGAGCUAACAAAGUUGGAAACUUUCAGAGAGUAUAAGCACGUAGAAAUUUAGGAUCCAAUCCAGGAUACCAUAUUGCAUUGAGACUUACUCCAUUUUUAGCUACAUAUCCUUUAAUCACCUCUUCAUGUGAUGACUUUGUAAUAUCAUUUUCCAGACACAAAAGAGAAAGAUAAUACAGUUUUUUUCUGACAUGGUUAAUCAAAUUUAUUUUCUGUUCCUGAUCAUUAAAACUCUUCCUUUCGGCUUUCUCUCUCUUUUUUGGUAAUGGCGCAUCAAUAUUUAGGAUUGUUGUCAACCUUGGAAAGACCUUGAUUAAAUUUCUCUCACGUUGUUCAUCGUUUGCAUUGUUUUUCCCUAAAGAAGAAUCGAAAUUGCAUAAGCUCCAGGCCCUAUGAAAACUGGAUCUGCCCUUGACUGAGAGAGUUUACCACUCACAAACACCGGUGAAAAGCUAUUAAAAGUCAGUCUUCAGGAAGAAGGAAGUGGAAUUCAGAAGGAAGAGGUGGGAUUCAAGAAGCAAUGAGACAAAUAAGAAGCUUCAGACUCUAAACUGUGGCAAUGAAAGGGAAGAGUUUUCAGAGCUGAACAGUGUAUAGACAGAUACAGAGAAAUUGGAAAAGAGAAUCCAUCUCUGGAUUGGGUCGUCUGGAGAGAAGGAGGCCGACUUAUGAAGAGGUUUCCAGAGAGGACUGGAGAAGGCAGAUGGUAAAGCCAUCAAGGGGAGAUGGUGUGAGAGGAUUGUCAAGCUGGCAGAAUUCAGGCUGAAGCCGCUGGCGGGGAGAGCUUGUCUGACACGAAGAGCAGAGCUGAGUGCUAAAGAGGAAUAAAACCUCAUACCACAUCAUCUGGGCACCUGGAUCCAGCCAUGACUGAAGCCCAACUACCCUGGGCUUUUCUGUUAUAUAAACAGCUAAAAGCCCCCA